rnacentral:rRNA from 1 species
UACGAAGGGGGCUAGCGUUGCUCGGAAUCACUGGGCGUAAAGCGCACGUAGGCGGACUCUUAAGUCGGUGGUGAAAUCCUGGAGCUCAACUCCAGAACUGCCUUCGAUACUGGCGGUCUCGAGUCCGGGAGAGGUGAGUGGAACUGCGAGUGUAGAGGUGAAAUUCGUAGAUAUUCGCAAGAACACCAGUGGCGAAGGCGGCUCACUGGCCCGGUACUGACGCUGAGGUGCGAAAGCGUGGGGAGCAAACAGG